CGUAGAGGGGGGNAGAAUUCCCAGGUGUAGCGGUGAAAUGCGUAGAGAUCUGGAGGAAUACCGGUGGCGAAGGCGGCCCCCUGGACGAAGACUGACGCUCAGGUGCGAAAGCGUGGGGAGCAAACAGGAUUAGAUACCCUGGUAGUCCACGCCGUAAACGAUGUCGACUUGGAGGUUGUGCCCUUGAGGCGUGGCUUCCGGAGCUAACGCGUUAAGUCGACCGCCUGGGGAGUACGGCCGCAAGGUUAAAACUCAAAUGAAUUGACGGGGGCCCGCACAAGCGGUGGAGCAUGUGGUUUAAUUCGAUGCAACGCGAAGAACCUUACCUGGUCUUGACAUCCAGAGAAUCCUGCAGAGAUGCGGGAGUGCCUUCGGGAACUCUGAGACAGGUGCUGCAUGGCUGUCGUCAGCUCGUGUUGUGAAAUGUUGGGUUAAGUCCCGCAACGAGCGCAACCCUUAUCCUUUGUUGCCAGCGGUUCGGCCGGGAACUCAAAGGAGACUGCCGGUGAUAAACCGGAGGAAGGNGGGGAUGACGUCAAGUCAUCAUGGCCCUUACGACCAGGGCUACACACGUGCUACAAUGGCGCAUACAAAGAGAAGCGACCUCGCGAGAGCAAGCGGACCUCAUAAAAGUGCGUCGUAGUCCGGAUUGGAGUCUGCAACUCGACUCCAUGAAAGUCGGAAUCGCUAGUAAUCGUGGAUCAGAAUGCCACGGNGAAUACGUNNCCCNGGCCUUGUAC
rnacentral:rRNA from 1 species